GACGAACGCUGGCGGCGUGCUUAACACAUGCAAGUCGAACGGAAAGGCCCUGCUUUUGUGGGGUGCUCGAGUGGCGAACGGGUGAGUAACACGUGAGUAACCUGCCCUUGACUUUGGGAUAACUUCAGGAAACUGGGGCUAAUACCGGAUAGGAGCUCCUGCUGCAUGGUGGGGGUUGGAAAGUUUCGGCGGUUGGGGAUGGACUCGCGGCUUAUCAGCUUGUUGGUGGGGUAGUGGCUUACCAAGGCUUUGACGGGUAGCCGGCCUGAGAGGGUGACCGGGGAAAGGGGGGCGAACAAAAGGCACGGGGGGCGAGGGGCGAGAGCGGGGGGGAAGGUGGGAGAAGGGGCGCAAGGGGGAGGCAGCCAUGGGGGGUGGGGGAUAAGGGUGUGUGGGUGGUAAAGGGAUGUAGGCAGGGGCGAAGAGCGGGUGAGGGUAGGGGAUAAAGAAGCACCAGCUAACUACGUG
rnacentral:rRNA from 1 species